CGUCAAGAACUAGAAUCAGAAAACAAAAAACUGAAGAAUGAGCUAAAUGAGUUGCGCAAGGCCCUCAGUGAGAAAAGUGCCCCAGAGGUGACCGCCCCAGGUGCACCUGCCUACCGUGUCCUCAUGGAGCAGCUGACCUCUGUGAGCGAGGAGCUUGAUGUCCGCAAGGAGGAAGUCCUCAUCUUAAGGUCUCAACUGGUGAGCCAGAAAGAGGCCAUCCAACCCAAGGUAAGCGCAAGCACACAAUUAAACUGAUUCCACAAUACUUUUGGAAGAUGUACAAAAAAUGAAAGAUAAAGGUGAAAUAGCACAAGCAUACAUUGGUUUGAAAGAAACAAAUAGCUCCUGGAAUCCCAGCUGCAGUCACAGAAGAGGAGCCAUGAGAAUGAGGCCGAGGCCCUCCGUGGGGAGAUCCAGAGCCUGAAGGAGGAGAACAACCGACAGCAGCAGCUGCUGGCCCAGAACCUGCAGCUGCCCCCAGAGGCCCGCAUUGAGGCCAGCCUGCAGCACGAGAUCACCCGGCUGACCAACGAAAACUUUAUUUUGAGGAAUUAUAUGCAGAUGACCCUAAGAAGUAUCAAUCAUAUCGGAUUUCCCUUUACAAACGGAUGAU
rnacentral:lncRNA from 1 species